GGAUGUGAGGGCGAUCUGGCUGCGACAUCUGUCACCCCAUUGAUCGCCAGGGUUGAUUCGGCUGAUCUGGCUGGCUAGGCGGGUGUCCCCUUCCUCCCUCACCGCUCCAUGUGCGUCCCUCCCGAAGCUGCGCGCUCGGUCGAAGAGGACGACCUUCCCCGAUAGAGACGGUACCGUUCAUCGGUCAAGGGUAUACGGUAGCUGCGCUCCCCUGCUAGAACCUCCAAACAAGCUCAAGGUCCAUUUGUAGGAGAACGUAGGGUAGUCAAGCUUCCAAGACUGCAGACACAUCCAAGUGAGGCACUGCAUGUGGCAGUCUGCCUUUCUUU
rnacentral:snRNA from 2 species